rnacentral:lncRNA from 1 species
AGAUAUCCAGAUUAAAUCUUCGAAGACCAUUUGGCUUAUUAGGUCCGAUGACCAUAUCAGCUUUAAAGCAGAGUAAAACUAAAAGGAAAACAAGAUUUGAUGGUGAAACUAUAUAAAUUUUCUUGCCAACGCCACUUACCUUUCCUUCAAUGAUGAUAAAUAUCGAUCCAGGCAAUCUUGAUGAACAGCAUGACCACAGGAGGACAGGUAAACACCAUCACAGUCAACUGGGCCAAAUCCAUCAUAUGCAAAAACCUGGGAAGUAGAUUCUGCCAUUGCAAUGUCAUCAAGAGCAUUUCCAGAAGAUGAAGGAUGCUCAAUUAUCUCUUUUGAAAAGGCAGCAAUGUAUUUUCCAAGCAAUACAGAAUCCGCACUCCUCCUGCUUUUCAUACCACUUUCAUCUGCCAAAAGUUCUACAUUCUUUACUCCAGAACUGGAAAGUACAAUAUUAUCAUUCAUUUCUUUCCGAAUGGACAUGUACAUAUCUUGUUCCAACGUCUCAAAGGUAUAUGCAGUUCUAUCAUUCCCAUUCUUCAACUAUGUUUUUUGUGACACAAUAGCACAUCAACAAUGCCAAAUCUUCAAAAGAAGUGGUAGUACCUGAUCUGGGUCAACAAUGUGUCCUCCUUCAAAAACAAUUCUCCUUACAUGUCUGUGUAAGCAGCAUAAGAACAUAUUUUAAACCUUUUAAUACACAAAAACCAAGCUCAUUCUAAAGGUUUCAAGAUCACAUUGUAUUGCAACUUGUUGAAGAAUGGAAAAAAGGGAGGUAAAGAAAAAUAGAGAGACAAAAAUGACAAUAUAGAGGCAUUCCUUUGAAACUUCAUGAACAACAUAAACUGGAUUCAAGACCUCAGAAACCUCAACAAAGGGCAAUGCAAUUCAGAAAUGCUUUGAGACAAUGGACUUGACAUCUGUUAAACAGGCGAUUUAACCAGGUAUUAGACCCACGUGUUUUAACUUGUUUUGGGUUGGACCAAAAGCAGACAAACAAAGGAGUCAGGCCUGACUUCUUUAAGUUCAGGAAGCAGAAGCAAGUUCCACCAAAGCAAUUGGGACAUUGUAAUCUCACUGCUUGAACAGUACAAGAUAAAUCCUUAAACUGCUUGUUCUUUUUGUUUUAUAUUCUCAAUAUCUAAGAAACACAUAUUUAUUUUAAUCCCCAGAUAUCCAGAUUAAAUCUUCGAAGACCAUUUGGCUUAUUAGGUCCGAUGACCAUAUCAGCUUUAAAGCAGAGUAAAACUAAAAGGAAAACAAGAUUUGAUGGUGAAACUAUAUAAAUUUUCUUGCCAACGCCACUUACCUUUCCUUCAAUGAUGAUAAAUAUCGAUCCAGGCAAUCUUGAUGAACAGCAUGACCACAGGAGGACAGGUAAACACCAUCACAGUCAACUGGGCCAAAUCCAUCAUAUGCAAAAACCUGGGAAGUAGAUUCUGCCAUUGCAAUGUCAUCAAGAGCAUUUCCAGAAGAUGAAGGAUGCUCAAUUAUCUCUUUUGAAAAGGCAGCAAUGUAUUUUCCAA